rnacentral:rRNA from 1 species
GAUGAACGCUGGCGGCGUGCCUAAUACAUGCAAGUCGAGCGAACCACUUCGGUGGUGAGCGGCGAACGGGUGAGUAACACGUAGGUCAUCUGCCCAUCAGACGGGGACAACGAUUGGAAACGGUCGCUAAUACCGGAUAGGACGCAAGUUUAAAGGUGCUUCUGGCACCGCUGAUGGAUGAGCCUGCGGCGAAUUAGCUAGUUGGUAGGGUAAAGGCCUACCAAGGCGACGAUGCGUAGCCGACCUGAGAGGGUGAACGGCCACACUGGGACUGAGACACGGCCCAGACUCCUACGGGAGGCAGCAGUAGGGAAUCUUCGGCAAUGGGCGAAAGCCUGACCGAGCAACGCCGCGUGAAUGAUGGAGGCCUUCGGGUUGUAAAAUUCUGUUAUAAGGGAAGAAUGACUUUAGUAGGAAAUGGCUAGAGUGUGACGGUACCUUAUGAGAAAGCCACGGCUAACUACGUGCCAGCAGCCGCAGUAAGAC